rnacentral:lncRNA from 1 species
UGGCAGAGACUGAGGCCUUUAUCAGACCCGCCAUCAAAGUCAAAGUUGGCUCCCUGCACUCAUGGCUCUCACAGCUAAGAUUCAAUCAAUGGAAGCAGCGUGCAGGGUCGAGGACAGCCGGCCCCACAUGUCAGUGGUCUAGGAUGGCCAGUGAGGGCGCCAGCAUCCCGAGUCCUGUGGUACGCCAGAUUGACAAGCAGUUUCUGAUCUGCAGUAUAUGCCUGGAACGGUACAAGAACCCCAAGGUCCUGCCCUGUCUGCACACUUUCUGCGAGAG